UUUUAGCCCAGAUUGAAGUGAAAAACCCGCAGCCACAAAAGGGAUUUUUUUGUAGCCACAAAAGAGCGACCAGCGGAAGCUCCUUUUGUGGUGUACAAAAAACCCUUUUGUGGCGAGGAUUUGUAACGAAAAGCUGGAAUUGCU
rnacentral:sRNA from 1 species